rnacentral:misc_RNA from 1 species
GCUUCCUUUUACUUUGGAAAGUUGUAACUUACCGAGGUGUGCACAUCGUUUCGGGUCAAAUUUGGACUUAAACGUAGGUUUACGAAUGUAGGCUAGGCGUCUUCUUAUAGUUGAAGUCAUAGACAGGAAAAUACUGGCCGAUUUUUUGAGAAAUAUUUUAAAACUAUGAUAAAAGUUGACUUUUUUGUUAGCACGUGGCCAAUAGUAAAAUCUAAUAACAAAUAAAUGAUCUAGUCAUCGUUUAAUAGAGUAACUUUCACAUUAUAGCAGAAAAUUUCUCUCCAGAUUUAAACAUUAAUUUUUUUCAGAUGCGUUACGUGGCCGCCUAUAUGCUCGCUGCUUUGUCAGCUAAAACCCCCUCUGCUAAGAGCAUAAAGGCUAUCUUGGACUCAGCUGGUGUAGAUAUCGAAGCUGACAAGAUCGAUAGUGUCCUUAAAGCCAUGGACGGUAAAAAUAUUGCUGAAGUCGUCGAAGAAGGCUUGGAAAAACUAACUACCGUACCAACCGGAGGAGCAGCAGCAGCACCAGCAGCCGCCACCUCUUCAGAACAAGCAAGCUCUUCAGCCCCAGCUAAAAAAGAGGAGGAAGAGAAUGAUGAAUCUGAUGAUGAUAUGGGAUUCGGUCUAUUCGAUUAAGUUGUUUUUUUCACCGAAUAAAAUUUUCAUUAUCAUUUGACUUUAAAA